rnacentral:pre_miRNA from 1 species
GAUUUACUCCCUCCGUCCCAAAAUUCUUGUCUUAGAUUAGUCUAGAUACGGAUGUAUCUAAUACUAAAACGUGACUUGAUACAUCCGUAUUUAGACAAAUCUAAGACAAGAAUUUUGGGACAAAGGGAGUAUAAU